CCUACGGGUGGCAGCAGUGAGGAAUAUUGGUCAAUGGGCGGGAGCCUGAACCAGCCAAGUCGCGUGAGGGAAGACGGUCCUAUGGAUUGUAAACUUCUUUAGGCGGGGAGCAAUGCCGGGCACGCGUGCCCGGAGGGAGAGUACCCGCAGAAUAAGCAUCGGCAAACACCGUGCCAGCAGCCGCGGUAAUACGGAGGAUGCGAGGGUUACCCGGAUUUAUGGGGUUUAAAGGGUGCGUAGGGGGAUUUUUAAGUCAUCGGGAAAGUGUCCGGGCUAAACCCGGGCCUGCCGUUGAUACUGGGGAUCUUGAGUGGAGGAGAAGGAGGCGGAAUGCGUGGUGUAGCGGUGAAAUGCAUAGAUAUCACGAAGAACUCCGAUUGCGAAGGCAGCAUACCGG
rnacentral:rRNA from 1 species